AUUGAACGCUGGCGGCAUGCCUUACACAUGCAAGUCGAACGGCAGCACGGGUGCUUGCACCUGGUGGCGAGUGGCGAACGGGUGAGUAAUACAUCGGAACGUACCUUAUCGUGGGGGAUAACGCAGCGAAAGCUGUGCUAAUACCGCAUACGCCCUGAGGGGGAAAGCGGGGGAUCGCAAGACCUCGCGCGAUUAGAGCGGCCGAUGCCUGACUAGCUUGGUGGUGGGGUAAAAGCCCACCAAGGCGACGAUCAGUAGCUGGUCUGAGAGGACGAUCAGCCACACUGGGACUGAGACACGGCCCAGACUCCUACGGGAGGCAGCAGUGGGGAAUUUUGGACAAUGGGGGCAACCCUGAUCCAGCAAUGCCGCGUGAGUGAAGAAGGCCUUCGGGUUGUAAAGCUCUUUUGUCAGGGAAGAAACACCGGCUCUAACACAGUCUGGGAAUGACGGUACCUGAAGAAUAAGCACCGGCUAACUACGUGCCAGCCGCCGCCGUAA
rnacentral:rRNA from 1 species